rnacentral:lncRNA from 1 species
CUCUUUCUUAGAAAAUGCUAGGUAUCUUCUACAUGAGUGAGUGAGAGACACUUCUCCUGCAAGGGAAAAGUAACAAAUAGUUUGUGUAAACGUAUAAGGAAGAUCUAAUUAAAGAUUUUUCUUAACUUGUAGUAUCUUCAUGAAAUAAGAAAGUUUGUUUUAUAUCUUUUGUCAUUCUUGUAUGUUGGUGAUAAAUGAAGGUUGCGAUCUUCAGCCUCGACGGAGGAAGGACGGCACAGUAGCCUGAGAUAGUGAGUCACAAUAGGCUAAAUAGUUCUUUAUAUCCGAAAGGAGAAACACUGAGGUGUUGAUACAAUCAAUAUAAAAGAAAUUCAAAAGAUAUAUAUAUAAACUCUAUCAUUUCAAGAAGUUAUUAACAUAAGAAAAAUCUAUCUUCAUGUCUACUUUUUGAAUUCAUACAUAUUAUAUGUUACUAAGUACCUAUAGGGAACAUAAAAUCAUGAAUUGUGCAUAUUUAUCAUCAUGAAAGUAGUACAACCACAAUUACAGAAACUUAGAAGAAAGAUUUGAGAUACCAUAAUAAUUAUAACAAGGAUUAAUAAGGCUUUACUGAAUUUAUGAAACUAUGGUAGAGAAAUCUAUAGUUUAAGGAGAAAUACUUCGAAUAAAGUUGUCAUUUCUAAAAUUAACAAAUUAGAAAAAAUACUACUUAGAGCACUAGAUAGAGACCAUGCUUUAAAAAGCAUACAGGUUAUUUUGUUGAAAAGAUACAAGGCUACGAUAAUGAAAUAUGCUCUUUAU